UACGUAGGUGGCGAGCGUUGUCCGGAAUUACUGGGCGUAAAGAGCGCGCAGGCGGCUGGUCAAGUCCGAUGUGAAAUCUCCCGGCUUAACUGGGAAAUUGCAUCGGAAACUGAUCGGCUUGAAGGUGGGAGAGGGUAGCGGAAUUCCCGGUGUAGUGGUGAAAUGCGUAGAUAUCGGGAGGAACACCAGUGGCGAAGGCGGCUACCUGGCCCAUUCUUGACGCUGAGGCGCGAAAGCUAGGGGAGCAAACGGG
rnacentral:rRNA from 1 species